AAAAUAACGUCGGAUUAAUGUUAGAUUUUGGUCACGACGUCGGCGACCAAAAUACGACGUAAAUCUGACGUUAAAAACCGAUGUUUAUUAGACGUUUCUUUUUGACGUCGUGCUAACGUCAGGUUCUGGUCGGUGUCCUGACAGUAGGUAAAAAAUUAACAAAAAAUAAUCCUUAUUCGCUGUUGUAAUCAUUUAAACUUUUUUUCAAAUGUUAUUUGGAUUACAAAUGAAAUGUUCUUAUAUAAAUACAGACCAAGAUCGCGGCGCUGCAACCUAAUAAAACAUAUAGGUGGCGCUGUAUAUAGGCAAGUUACAUGUGUUAUUGUUAUGAAAUCUAUUUAUAGCCACAUAUCUGUUUACAAACGUUAUAAUAUUAUCAUUUGUGGUACAUUAUAUGUAUCAAAAUCACGAGUUUUUUAAUAGUGCUUUAACAUUUAAUCAUAGUGACAGAAAAGGGAAAGAAAACAUAAUUAACCUAUAAUUCGAAUCUAAAGUCACGUGGAUGGAAAUUCAAAUUCGUAGGCGUUACGUUUUGGCUGUCGGUCAGGAAUCGGGAUGCACUGAUAAAGUGAAUAUUAUAGAUUUUCUUGAACAAAAAGGUAGUUAAAGUGUUGGACAUGCUCUCAAAGGUCGGAGGGACGGAAACACGUGAAUAUGAAAAAAGAAACAUAUGAAAUGAAAAUGAUGUCACACACGCUAUUGGACGCUACAAACGCUACAUAUCCUCCGGACAGACGAGGGGUGCUGAAAGAAGGUCAUAUCUUAAAGCAUCACACCUCAAAAUUCGUGCUAAUUCUCAUGGAUAUCUAAAAGUAUAACUUUGUGAAGUAACUAAAAGGCAGCAAUUUAUACAUUACUGACAAUUAUCAAAGGAGGUCAAAAUAUGCAAAAUGGCACUAAAUGUUUUAGAAAUGCUGUAGAAAUAUAGUUAAAAUACUGAAAAUUAAUUGCUUGAAACAUUAUUAUCAGAAUCUUUUAACUUUUCUUAAAAUUAUAAUAUUUUUAUUAUUUUAUUUGAUAAGGCAGACUUUGAUAGA